UAAUCAACAAAUAAAUAAACUAAAAAUCAUUCCUCAACCCUCAUUUUCUCCUCUACCCAAAGAAAAAGAGAGAGAAAAGAAAAGGAAAACUCUUGAAAAUGGCCGCUGCCAACCGCUGGAUCCGGCCCGAGGUGUAUCCACUGUUUGCAGCUACAGGGCUUGCUGUGGGGAUCUGUGGUUUUCAACUGGUCCGCAAUAUCUGCGGCAACCACUGAAGUCCGGGUGAACAAGGAAAACAGGGCUGCUGGAAUUUUGGAUAAUUUCGACGAGGGACACAAGUACAAGGAGCAUGCUCUGAGAAAAUAUGUUCGUAAUCGAAAACCGGAGAUUAUGCCGUCGCUUAACAGCUUCUUUACCGACCCACAGAAUAACUAGCCUUUGGAAGAAUUGAUUGGACCGAUUUAAAUAGUGUUUGAAUCCUUCAGAUGUUUGUGCUUGUUUAAUAAUGAAAACAUGGGAUCUUAUUACAUUGUUUAUGAUUUUUAUCAUCAUAUUGAAAAUAUGAAUGUUGGAAUGAUCUAUUGUUGUUUAAUGGUUUUUGGAAUUAUGAUUUUCAAAAAUAAUACUGCUGUAGUAUUUACUUUUUU